CAGAUUCGUGCCCCAGCCCUGGGAUGUCGUGUCCGAUUUUGGCUCAGAAUUAGUGCCAUUGACUUCACUGACAAAGUCGUGUGAUUGGGUGGGACACGCAUCAUGCUAUUUUGAAAACUGCUUCGAUUGUGUAUUACAUGAACCGAGC